ACAUAUUAUUUGACCCCCGCCCACCCCGCACCCCCGCGCAGUUUAGAAAAAGAUACCAUUGUCCCGCUAAAAUGUGCCUCAAUGACCACGUGUCCUGCAACCCUUUUAAAUACUUCACCAAUCGGGGCAUUAUCCUAAACCUUAGGCGCAUUUUAGUACAGUUUGGGUGCUUACAGCCAUAGUACUGGCAAUUCCAAUUGUCCAGUAGAAUCCAAUUUAAGACUACCUAGGGAGAGACAAAAGAGGGUGGCUUUGGAUUCAAUGGUCUACCAAGCUGGAACAAGGAAAAGGGUUUUUGGUGUCAAAAUACUUCGUGGUCCCGACGGCAGUGCUUUUCAGAAAUGUGAAACGUGUGGCAUCUCAGUGGCUAUUGCGUUGGCUGACAUGCAUCAAUGUGAAUCCAGAAAGGAUGUAAAGAAAUUGAAAUGCCAACUCAGGAACAGAAGCAUUGUUGAAGAGCAGAGGCUCAUUGAUCAACCCAGAUCGGCUUUUCGGAUUUUCAUGGAGGAUUUUGUGAAGAAGAACAUAGAUGGAAAUGAGUUUGAAGUGGAUAAUAAAGGUUUUGAGACAUGGAAAAACAUGACACGUGAGGAGAAGUUUUUGUACUUCAUGAAAGCCGAAACAAUCAAUCUUGCAUACGAAAAACUUUUGCGCAGAGAGGAGAAGGAUAUGCCAUGGAGGGUGGAUGACGAGGCAGAUUCAGCUGAUGUUGGCAAGUACGAUGAGAAUUAUGAAGAUUAUGAUUAUUCUGAUUCUGAAUCUUCUGGGGAUUUGAUUGAUUUUUGGCCUGAGGCAGACAAGAGCUUUGACACCAGUGAGAGGGAGGAUUUGUUCCCUUGGAGGGCUCGUAUAAAAUCUUGAGGAUUGGACAUCAUUUUGAGGGGGUUUCUUGCUUUGGACCAGAGGAACCUUUGUGUCAAUGGUUGGCAUCUGUUUUUGUUCAUAAGCCUUGCCGAUUCCUACCUUAUUGAAGGCAAGUCAGGUUGGUUGGCUACUGCAGGGAGUCCGGAGCCAAAAGGGCUCUUUUUUUAAUCAAAAAUACCAAAGGGGGACAAGUGACUUUUGAAUAAACAAAAAGGGACAAAACGUGGUGGGGUCAGCGACAUGCAAGUCGCGUAUGACAGAGUGCCAUGUAAGUCGUGGAGUGCAAGUCGCGCCCGCACCAGCGACUUAGUUGAACAGUAUCCUGGUAUUCUCUAUUCUGCAUGUGAAUUGCAACAAAAUGGAGAGUUCUGCAUGUGCAACAAACGCCUAUAUAUUCAAGUGUAGAAAAGGUUCGCAUUCUCCAGUUUCUACUCACAAUUUACAAUUUCAUUCAAAUAUAAAUUUAUUUUUAUUCAGCUUACAAAUUUUUGUAUUAAAAAUGAAUCAAGAUACAGUAAGAAGUAAAUUUAUAUUUAUAUUGGGGUGG